rnacentral:rRNA from 1 species
UCAAGCAGGGAAACCU